CGGCGCCAUCAUGGGUCGCAUGCACGCUCCGAGGAAGGGCCUGUCCCAGUCAGCCUUGCCCUACAGGCGCAGUGUACCCACAUGGUUAAAACUAACUUCUGAUGAUGUAAAAGAACAGAUCUACAAACUGGCUAAGAAAGGUCUGACUCCCUCACAGAUUGGUGUAAUCUUAAGGGACUCUCAUGGUGUCGCCCAAGUUCGUUUUGUCACUGGCAACAAAAUUUUAAGGAUCCUUAAGUCCAAGGGACUUGCCCCAGACCUUCCAGAGGAUCUGUACCACUUGAUCAAGAAAGCUGUUGCUGUUCGUAAACAUCUUGAG